rnacentral:rRNA from 1 species
UACGAAGGGGGCUAGCGUUGUUCGGAAUCACUGGGCGUAAAGCGCACGUAGGCGGACUUUUAAGUCAGGGGUGAAAGCCUGAGGCUCAACCUCAGAACUGCCCUUGAUACUGGGAGUCUUGAGUAUGGUAGAGGUUGGUGGAACAGCAAGUGUAGAGGUGAAAUUCGUAGAUAUUUGCUAGAACACCAGUGGCGAAGGCGGCCAACUGGACCAUAACUGACGCUGAGGUGCGAAAGCGUGGGGAGCGAACAGG